UGCGGAAAUUUUCUAUUUGCCAACAACAUGGGGCCAGCUUAGAGGACGAGGCUCCACGGGCCAACUGCGGCAUCGGACAAGCGAGAGGGGUACGCUCCCAAGCUCCCGCCAUGGCCUCCACUGGCGAGCACACCGUGUCUCUGCUUGCGCGCCUUCCCACCCAGCCCAGUGGUGGGAGUGCAGUGGUGCUCCCGUCAGCGCGGGUUGAAUCGAUGGGGCGACUCUGCACGACUCACUCCGCAGCAGCCGCCUGACUCGCCCCGCGGCAGUAGCUGGCACCCGAGCGAUGCUUGUUCGCUACUGCAGAAGUCCCGCCACAAACCUAUUUUGUAUGCUCUUCUCUUUCUCUCUCCAUUGUCCAAAUGGCGGAUAUUUGAUGAAUAUGGUCGGACGUCGUGAGUGACAGUGGAUAUUUAAUAAUGAUGUUUGUUUUGA